rnacentral:rRNA from 1 species
AAUUUUGGACAAUGGGGGCAACCCUGAUCCAGCAAUGCCGCGUGUGUGAAGAAGGCCUUCGGGUUGUAAAGCACUUUUGUCCGGAAAGAAAUCGCGCUGGUUAAUACCUGGCGUGGAUGACGGUACCGGAAGAAUAAGCACCGGCUAACUACGUGCCAGCAGCCGCGGUAAUACGUAGGGUGCGAGCGUUAAUCGGAAUUACUGGGCGUAAAGCGUGCGCAGGCGGUUUUGUAAGACAGGCGUGAAAUCCCCGGGCUUAACCUGGGAAUUGCGCUUGUGACUGCAAGGCUAGAGUGCGUCAGAGGGGGGUAGAAUUCCACGUGUAGCAGUGAAAUGCGUAGAGAUGUGGAGGAAUACCGAUGGCGAAGGCAGCCCCCUGGGACGUGACUGACGCUCAUGCACGAAAGCGUGGGGAGCAAACAGG